rnacentral:rRNA from 1 species
UGACGAACGCUGGCGGCGUGCUUAACACAUGCAAGUCGAACGGAAAGGCCCUGCUUUUGUGGGGUGCUCGAGUGGCGAACGGGUGAGUAACACGUGAGUAACCUGCCCUUGACUUUGGGAUAACUUCAGGAAACUGGGGCUAAUACCGGAUAGGAGCUCCUGCUGCAUGGUGGGGGUUGGAAAGUUUCGGCGGUUGGGGAUGGACUCGCGGCUUAUCAGCUUGUUGGUGGGGUAGUGGCUUACCAAGGCUUUGACGGGUAGCCGGCCUGAGAGGGUGACCGGCCACAUUGGGACUGAGAUACGGCCCAGACUCCUACGGGAGGCAGCAGUGGGGAAUAUUGCACAAUGGGCGGAAGCCUGAUGCAGCAACGCCGCGUGCGGGAUGACGGCCUUCGGGUUGUAAACCGCUUUCGCCUGUGACGAAGCGUGAGUGACGGUAAUGGGUAAAGAAGCACCGGCUAACUACGUGCCAGCAGCCGCGGUGAUACGUAGGGUGCGAGCGUUGUCCGGAUUUAUUGGGCGUAAAGGGCUCGUAGGUGGUUGAUCGCGUCGGAAGUGUAAUCUUGGGGCUUAACCCUGAGCGUGCUUUCGAUACGGGUUGACUUGAGGAAGGUAGGGGAGAAUGGAAUUCCUGGUGGAGCGGUGGAAUGCGCAGAUAUCAGGAGGAACACCAGUGGCGAAGGCGGUUCUCUGGGCCUUUCCUGACGCUGAGGAGCGAAAGCGUGGGGAGCGAACAGGCUUAGAUACCCUGGUAGUCCACGCUGUAAACGGUGGGUACUAGGUGUGGGGUCCAUUCCACGGGUUCCGUGCCGUAGCUAACGCUUUAAGUACCCCGCCUGGGGAGUACGGCCGCAAGGCUAAAACUCAAAGGAAUUGACGGGGCCCCGCACAAGCGGCGGAGCAUGCGGAUUAAUUCGAUGCAACGCGUAGAACCUUACCUGGGUUUGACAUGGAUCGGGAGUGCUCAGAGAUGGGUGUGCCUCUUUUGGGGUCGGUUCACAGGUGGUGCAUGCCUGUCGUCAGCUCGUGUCGUGAGAUGUUGGGUUAAGUCCCGCAACGAGCGCAACCCUUGUUCACUGUUGCCAGCACGUUAUGGUGGGGACUCAGUGGAGACCGCCGGGGUCAACUCGGAGGAAGGUGGGGAUGACGUCAAGUCAUCAUGCCCCUUAUGUCCAGGGCUUCACGCAUGCUACAAUGGCUGGUACAGAGAGUGGCGAGCCUGUGAGGGUGAGCGAAUCUCGGAAAGCCGGUCUCAGUUCGGAUUGGGGUCUGCAAUUCGACCUCAUGAAGUCGGAGUCGCUAGUAAUCGCAGAUCAGCAACGCUGCGGUGAAAACGUUCCCGGGGCU